AUUUAAGAUGGCGAUUUGUCUUUGUCCUGGAGAUAAUUGAAUUACUUCCCAAUUAUCUCCAGGGCAGAGGGGAGGAAACCAUAUUGCAUUGUGGGAAAAGGUUACAUCUGUAUGUCUGAAAUGACCCCAUGUCUAUCUGUCAUUACAGUCUCCCAUUUGGUCCCCUAGGGGAGUGUCCACCAAGUGGGAGACCUGCAUAAAUACGGGCAGGUAGUCCACAGUAAAGCCAGAUCCUGUUUGACCCUCAAUGCGGAGCUUCUGUCUCGUUAUUGGGGGGGAUUUCUUAUUUGCGCUUAGAGACUGUUUAUUGGAACCGAAAGCUGCUUGGUGGAUAUCGUUGUUCGGCGGCUAGCAGCAGUUCGUGGAUUUCCGUUCGGGAGUUUGGAGCCUUUCACGGAUCCCGGUCGGGAGAUUACCGCUUCCCCUGAUGGUGGUUCGUAUACUGCAGUCUAUGCGAAUGGAGUUAUUGGUAUUGCGAAAGGGGAAGGCUAACUAAACGGCGGUUUCGCUUAAAGACACCAGGGGUGUCUUAACAAUUGGUCGCAAGCGACGGGAUGAAUCCGACAGCACAGAAGGUCAGCUACACAUCCCGAUUUGGUGAAAAGAAAUGCAGUAUGAGGAGUUAAGGCGUGCUACCCUUAAGGACAUACUUGAACGCCAAGGACGGACAGCAAGUAAUUUGAAAAAUAGAGAAAUUAUUGCUUUGCUACUGGAGAUGGAUGCAACACAGGGAAUGGAGAGAGCUAAUGUGCCCAGCAUUUUGGAUUUAACCCUCGAGGAAAUACAAUUUAACCGGGCAGUGCAAAUAAGGCUGGCACACUUUGGCCCCAACCCCUCAGCAGACAUUAUGGAACGUGCAGGCAGCAGUGAUGGCACACCAGGCGCUCCGGGAAAGAGGAGCUGCAGCAGUAGAGGUACCCAAUAACAAUUUUGGAAAGAAAAAGGUACCCUUUGCUGCAUUUAAAUUUUUUGUUGAAACAGAGGUAGAGAUUGAUGGGUCACCAUCCUCUCUGGGAAAUUAUCCGACCGGGCUAGUGAAGCAUUUUGGGCCAUCCCAGAGGAGGAGAUUACCAGCUACCGGGCAGUGCAAGAUGCGCUCCUAGCCAGGUAUGCGGUGACCCCAGAAGCUUACCGACGACGCUUUAGGGAAACUAGCAAGCAGGUUGGUGACUCUUAUGUAGAAUGGGCCUGCAGGGUCCACCGUACCGCAGCCCACUGGAUGGCAGGAUGCCAAACGGUAACUGGGGAGGAAGUGCUGCAGGUGUUCUUGCUGGAACAUUGCUUCGAUAGAUUACCUACCGG